rnacentral:lncRNA from 1 species
UGAUACGCAUCCUCCUCCGGAAUGACAAGGUGGCGAUUCCGCAGCGCCUCUAUAACAGCCAUCCUAGCCUCUUCAGUCACAUGAGUUGGGGAGGAACAAAUCUCUCCCCAAAAAUCCGCAACCAUCUGUGGCAACUUCAUCGUGUCUGUAAUAAGACGACCCGUUCUAUCUUGCAACGCCGGAAUAACUUGCAGAGUCUUAGACGGAUGCACCAGGGCAGUUAGCCCUCUACUAGGCCGUUCACCCUCACGAAUCCACUGUAACCGAACCCGUUCCGCCUCCUGUGCACCUUCAGCUCUAGCCGCUUGUACAACCGCUACUUGGGCGUCAAUUGCCGCUUGGAUUCUCUGUGCACUCAUAUGUUCGGUCUGCACAUCUUCCAGUGCCCUUGUUGCAUGUUCUAUUGCCAAACGUAGUUGCCCCCCCGGGGGAAAACGACGUUCUCGCGCUUGCCGAUUAAGAACAUUUACUUCAUUGAACAUUCGAUGUUUAAACAACGGCCACCAUUGUAGCAUAGCUACUGUGUCUGUCUCAGCGGGUCUCUGCGCACACUCAUCACCAAUCCAUUGCAAGAAGCUUCNCNNNNNNNNNNNNNNNNNNNNNNNNNNNNNNNNNNNNNNNNNNNNNNNNNNCCUGAUGUCGGUAGUCCCGGUUGAUUGGUGGUUGUGUAUGAGAGCUGCUGCUGUUGUCGCUGCUGCUGCUGUGGCGGCUGUUGCUGUAUCUGUUGCUGUUGCUGUUGUGGUUGCUGGUUCUGUCGUUGUUGUUGCUGUUGCUGUUGUUGCUGCUGUGUUUGCUGUUGCUGUGUCUGUUGUUGCUGUUGCUGUUGUUGCUGUUGCUGCUGUUGUUGUACUUGUCUUCGUACAACGGCGGCGGCUGCUCUGCCUGCCAUUUCUGUUGCCUCCUCGUUGGAUACUCGAUUUUGCAUCUGCUGUUGUCGAGUUAUUUGCUGGAUUGUCUGGGGCUGUCCAGUAGCCAUGGGUUGACGUGCAUUACUUGAUCCUCCUACCUCACCCACCGCUGGCGUCGCUAGAUUUGGCCGUGCUCGCGCCGCGAUGACUGCCGCCGCCGAAAUGGGCGGCGGGAGAUUCGGUAUCAAGCGGUUUCGUUGUUGAAUCUUGGGGGGGCGGGCAAAGCCGGAGUCUGUGUGUCGUAAUACGUGUGUUGCGCUCUCCACGCUCCCCUAUGAAUCCGCCGGCCAUCCUCCUCAAUGGAGAAAAUAUUCAUCCUGGCGGGUAAUGCGGGCUGAUCCCAUCGCACCCACACCACGGCUGUAGUGAGACUAGCUUCGACUAUCCCCCAUUUCUUUCCAUAUUCAUCUACGUCAAAGCCGUAGGCUUCCGCAAUAAGCCAGAAUAGGCAUUUCUGAGGAAAUGCUGGAGGUAAUCCUGUCAGUCUGAAGUAUUGGGCAGAUGCCCCCACUAUGUCUACUACAAGAUCCUAGAUGGAGAUCUGCUAGAUUGAUUCGUCCGCAAUGGUCCGCUAAGUUUUUUACGGGCGUAAUCCACUCCUCCGGUACGUAGACGUUGAUCUGUCCAACGACUCCUUCGUCGUUGCGAGCUUCCCAAGCGACCGGUUCUCCGACGAAAACAUAAGGAGCUUUUAGCUCCUGUUGUACUGUCUGCACUAUUCGGUGUCCAAUCGGUCCUGCCAUAAUGUCUAUUACCUGCUUUCUGUUCUCUAGGUAGUUUCCUUGAAAGAUUGCUCUCAUUGCCAGCGAUCGAAGUUUGCCAAAAGGUUGCUCCAUCUUCGUAAUUUCCCUAAGAAGGGAGAUUGAUAUGGUUGCUUCAGAUCGUUCCGCCGUCACACCGGCGGCCUGAUCCGUUGAACUGUUGCGAGCCAUUUUGAUGUCUUUUGUCUCAGAAAAGUUAUUGAAGGUAAAUAGACCGACCGGGUUACCCGNGUCGGUCUUGGUAUGAUGUUGAGUCUGCAAGUGUGGAUUGGGGCUAUAUGGUGGCUAAAUUGGUAUAUUGCUAUAUUGCUAUAGGAGUGUAGUAAGGUGAUGCAGUGUGUGCUGCCGUGGGUAUCGGAGCUGAACGUGCAGCACUUUGCACCGAAGGUAUGGCCACUUGGGAUACAGCACCCUGAGACGUUGCUGCGUCAUAAUAUGGUAGCUGGAUUUGAUGUUGACCGACACAGCAUACAAUCAGCCAGCGCGUGUGUGUGUGAGACUUGUCUUUGCUAAGCAUACACGUGGUCCUUUUCCGUUAUCUGGGCAUAAGGCAGCGCAGACUCUCGCGCUCAUUCACAUGGAUGUGUGUGGGCCUAUGCCUGAACCUUCGCCUAGUGGUUCGCGUUACGUGACAACCCUGCUUGACGACCAUACUGGUCUUUCAGCUGUUGCGUUUACAGCGACCAAGGAGGAGGUCUACCAGAAGAUGGUGGUAAUGAUAGCGGAACUGGAGCGCGCUACUGGCAGGCAGGUUAAGGAGGUGCGUACAGAUCGUGGCGGGGAGUUCGUUAAUACUCGCACGAAGGCCUAUUUCGCUUCCAGGGGUAUUCUACACGGAACUACGGUAGGCUACACCCCUGAGCAGAACGGAGCUGCAGAACGUUUAAAUCGCACUCUUUUGGACAAGACUAGGGCUAUGCUAGUUGAGUCUGGACUGCCUAAAUCAUUAUGGGCGGAGGCGUUAGCGACAGCCAACUAUCUUAGGAAUGUGUCGCCAACUGCUGGGUCAACCGUCACUCCGUACGAAGCUUUCUUUAAUGUUCGUCCGAACGUCAGUCACCUGCGAGUUUUUGGAUGCGUUGCCUACGUCCACGUACCUGACGUCAAGCGCGACAAGUUCGACCCGGUGAGCAGGCGUGGAAUACUUGUCGGAUAUGGGAACGGUGGACAGUAUCGUGUACAAUACGAGGACGGCAUUAUUGCCAUAGUUUCUAACGUUCGCUUUGACGAGUCGAAUGUCGGCCGGCGGCGUAAUGCCGGGGACUCCGAUUAUGAGUCCGAUGCCGACGAGGAGGAGGAGUUUCGCACUAGUUUAUCUGGUGAGGGAUCGCUGCCUAGGGCUGGCGAAGGGACACCAGGUAGCACCGUCGGCGAGGGAUCGCCGCACUUGGGUGGCGAGGGGGCGCCGGCUGGGGCUGGACCUUCCAGCAGUGCGAACGGGCAAGGAAUUAAUUAGCCUGAUGUGGAAAUGGCAGGGACACGAUAUCCAGUUAGAGAGCGGAAACGCCCUGGCGAAUGGUGGCGAAACGAACCUGGUCGCACUGUUACUGGUCGCGUUAACGCUGCUUUCUCUGCUGGUAUUCCUGAGCCUAAUUCGUUUGCAGAAGCCAUUGCAAGUCCAAAUGCAGACGACUGGCGGCGUGCGAUGGACGAGGAGAUCGCCGCCCAGAUGGCUAAUAGUACUUGGGAGCUGAAGAAGCCACCUCCUGGUACUCGUUUGUUGCCGUGUCGUUGGGUAUGUAAGGUUAAGUACAGCGAUGACGGCAGCGUGGAGCGUUUUAAGGCGCGUUUAGUUGCCAAGGGUUUCGAGCAACGUGAGGGGAUUGAUUAUGGGGAGUUGUUUGCCCCUACCUCUCGUGGUUCGUCAUUGCGUGCUUUAUUAGCAGUUGCCGCAGCCCGGAACAUGACGGNNNNNNNNNNNNNNNNNNNNNNNNNNNNNNNNNNNNNNNNNNNNNNNNNNCAGCCAUCCUAGCCUCUUAGUCCAUGAGUUGGGGAGGAACAAAUCUCUCCCCAAAAAUCCGCAACCAUCUGUGGCAACUUCAUCGUGUCUGUAAUAAGACGACCCGUUCUAUCUUGCAACGCCGGAAUAACUUGCAGAGUCUUAGACGGAUGCACCAGGGCAGUUAGCCCUCUACUAGGCCGUUCACCCUCACGAAUCCACUGUAACCGAACCCGUUCCGCCUCCUGUGCACCUUCAGCUCUAGCCGCUUGUACAACCGCUACUUGGGCGUCAAUUGCCGCUUGGAUUCUCUGUGCACUCAUAUGUUCGGUCUGCACAUCUUCCAGUGCCCUUGUUGCAUGUUCUAUUGCCAAACGUAGUUGCCCCCCCGGGGGAAAACGACGUUCUCGCGCUUGCCGAUUAAGAACAUUUACUUCAUUGAACAUUCGAUGUUUAAACAACGGCCACCAUUGUAGCAUAGCUACUGUGUCUGUCUCAGCGGGUCUCUGCGCACACUCAUCACCAAUCCAUUGCAAGAAGUUUCCCUUCAAGUCAGGAAAAUCUAAGAAAUGCGUGUGUAGCCUUGGAAGGCCUGGACCACGCUUUCUCACAAGACGAGGUAAAAGAGCAAUAAUAGCUAAACGAUGGUCUGUCGAAGUGCACACUGGAAUGGUAGAGGAAGCGAUGAAGGGGGUGAGGUUUGUGGAAGUAUAGAUUCGAUCAAGACGUGACCCUCCCGACACACUUGUUUUAUAGAANAACGAAAGGUCGCGACGGGUAGGGUGGAGGUAGCG